CUUUGCAAGGUGCUGCAUGGUUGUCGUCAGCUCGUGCCGUGAGGUGUCGGUUAAGUCCCAUAACGAGCGCAACCCUUAUCGUUAGUUGCCAGCGGGUAAAGCCGGAACUCUAGCGAAACUGCCGGUGUAAACCGAGAGGAAGGUGGGGAUGACGUCAAAUCAGCACGGCCCUUAUGUCCAGGGCUACACACGUGUUACAAUGGCCGGUACAGAGGGCAGCUACCUGGAGACAGGAUGCGAAUCUCGAAAGCCGGUCUCAGUUCGGAUUGGAGUCUGCAACUCGACUCCAUGAAGUUGGAAUCGCUAGUAAUCGCGGAUCAGCACGCCGCGGUGAAUACGUUCCCGGGCCUU
rnacentral:rRNA from 1 species